rnacentral:rRNA from 1 species
AACGAACGCUGGCGGCAGGCUUAACACAUGCAAGUCGAGCGCGUAGCAAUACGAGCGGCAGACGGGUGAGUAACGCGUGGGAAUCUACCCAUCACUACGGAACAACUCCGGGAAACUGGAGCUAAUACCGUAUACGUCCUUCGGGAGAAAGAUUUAUCGGUGAUGGAUGAGCCCGGGUUGGAUUAGCUAGUUGGUGGGGUAAUGGCCUACCAAGGCGACGAUCCAUAGCUGGUCUGAGAGGAUGAUCAGCCACAUUGGGACUGAGACACGGCCCAAACUCCUACGGGAGGCAGCAGUGGGGAAUAUUGGACAAUGGGCGCAAGCCUGAUCCAGCCAUGCCGCGUGAGUGAUGAAGGCCCUAGGGUUGUAAAGCUCUUUCACCGGUGAAGAUAAUGACGGUAACCGGAGAAGAAGCCCCGGCUAACUUCGUGCCAGCAGCCGCCGUAACAC